GGUGGCUCAGUGGUUGAGUGCUUGCCUUGCAUGCAUGAGACCCUGGGUUCAAUGCCUCAGCACCA
rnacentral:tRNA from 1 species